UCUUGUCUUCUCCAUCCAGCCAGGGCAAUGUGGAGACAUUUCUGAUUAUCAGGCCUGGCAAACAUUCUGGAAUUCUGGGUGUGCCCCACCAUGACCGUCUGGGUGUGUCUGAGCCUCAGUGUUUCCAUCUGCAAGGUGGGACAGCAGUGACUGCCUCUGGGCUGCUAGGAAGAAAAGGCUGUGGAGUGAGGCCUCACCAGAGGCCAGUAUCACAGGCCACACUCACAGAGGGCUGGACCCUGGCCGCACCCAUAUCAGGAUAGCCCCAAAUGGGGCAGCGGGACCUUUGAUCACUGUUCCCUGUGACCAGGACACCAGAAUCCUGGCCAAUCCAGAAAGCUGUAUUGAGGGAGCUGGGGAGGUAGGAGAGCCACUCAGCCUGUCCCACGGCCUCCACCUAUUUUGCACCGCUGAAGCUCCCACGCUUGGCUUCAGGCUGCUCUGAGACAAGUCUCUAGAUGGCUAUCUAGUCUCUCUGGAGUAGGGGUCAGGUUUUGUUUGCCCCAGGGCUCCAAGGCCAGUUCCGAAGGAGCCUCCUGCUAGUAGAACGAGUUGGCUGAGCUGACCAGUCCAGGUCCGGCCCUGCAGAGUACAAUCUUGGCAUCCAGUCGCCCCAGGCUGGCCUCCAGAUCAUCCGGAUCCCUUGCUAGUGUCCACUGGGUGACAGGCAGCCCUGGCCAAUGAGGUUUGUUUCUGCCAGUGCUCUGGCCCUGAUCCAACUAACACCCACACCCGAAGCGUGGCAGGGUGGAGCUCCCUGUGGGUCAAGGUGCUCAGGUAGGUGGGGAGGCCAUGAGUGUCCCUCUUUACAGGUUCCAGGAAGGCUGGGUGAUGAGUCCAGGUGGUUGGCUUUCCAUGCUGGGGACCCCACAGCCCCUCCUUCCCUCUGCCUAUGCCUCCUCCAGCUGAGACUUUCAGUAUGCUUGCCUGGGAGUCUACAAUGCGUAUGUAGUGCCUCCUGGUGGCCAAUGCGGCCCCUCACUCGGAUGGACACGGCCUCGAGGAAGGGAGGUGGGCCCAGACAAGUCAACACGGCCAAGCCUUGCCUCAGUUUCCCCAGGCUGUUUUAUCUCUCUGUUUAUGGUUCCACAGAGGGUCUGGACACCCGGGGUGUGCGUGGGGGGUGGGUUGCUAAUCUCAGGUGGCUACAGGCCCUCUAACCAGGCCAAUGGGGACCUGGAAAUCAAAGCCCAGUCAGCUCAGCUGCCCUGGUGUCAGAUGAAGUACAGGUGGAUCCCUGGCUUCCGUUCAUGGGGAUGACCAGAGUCUGUUCGUGCCCAGUGGCCCUAGAUCCCAUGUUGGACCGUCCUAACGAUGUGUGGACACUGUACCUCACACCUUCGGCCAACUGUGCCCCCCCCAGCUCCUGUACCCACCCCCCUCUCUAGACCCACCUCUUCAGUCUUCGGGGAAUCUGUCGGGGCCUGUCCAUGCUUGACUUUGCCCCACAGCCAGAUGCCAGGCUUGGGUGUGGACCUGGGGGCCCUUCCACUUUGAGAUGGGCAAAGCCUUGCCCUGGGCCCGAGACCCUUUGUAGGAAGUAGGGACACAGGUGGAGACGGCUGGAUGGGGGACGUGACGCUCUGAUUCUUGGCGGCAAGUGUUUCCCCACCCUGUUGGUGUCGUGGGGCUGCAGUCUGGACACCAUUCCAUCCCUGAGCCGGCCCCACAUGCACACACACUCACACCCACACAGCUCACCUCCUUGGUGGCUCUGGGCAGCUGGCAGGGGCCACUGGGCUGGUUCGUUGCUUUGGUUUCUCAGUACACACUCUGCAGUUUCCGGCCCGAGGAGGUCCCGCCUCAGGGAGGUCUCCAGCCCUCCUCUGUCCUCCUCCUCAGCAGCUGGGGCAGCCCGGGCCCCGUGGACACUAUCACUGCUACCUGAGCAUGGCUUCACGGAGGCCCUGAAACUCCUCCCAGUCCUGCCCGGCCUGCCUUGCCUGCCCAACAGCCUUGUUGGAACACACCCUUCACCAGGCCACACCCUCUGCCAUGCUGGGUUCUGGGACCGGCCUUUCUUUCCCCGACCUGGUCAAGGGUGUCCACAGGCCUAGUCCUUGGAGCUGCUGAUGUCUAGACAGGUUUGUGACCAUGAACCCAUGAGACCAGUGGGAGCUGGUCUCCACGUCCAACUUGGGUUGGGCGUCACAAUGCCAGUGACAUGUAUGUACUGAGGGGCGGGGAUGACUUUCAGCUUUCCCCUCUAUCCACACAGCUCUCUCUCUCUUCAUCUCUGAAGCACCUGAAGGAACACCUCACUUCUAACCACUGAUCAAGGUCACUUAUAUCUGUCACACGAUGCUGGCAACAGGAGACACGGGCUAAGUGUCUACCAUGGUUGUCCAGGCACACGGAAGAGCUUUGAAAGUGGGCGGGUCAGGGUGCUAUCAGAAUCUUGUGUACUGGGACCAGCGAGAAGGCUCAUUGAUGACCGUUUAGUCCUUGGGACCCACAUGGUAGGAGAAAAUAUCCUUUCUAACUGUCUUCCAUAUGUAUACAAUGGGACAUGCAUGCCCACACAUACAAAUAAAUGUAAAAAUAAAGUAAUAAAAAAUCUUUGUAUGACCUUGA